rnacentral:rRNA from 1 species
UACGGAGGAUGCAAGCGUUAUCCGGAAUUAUUGGGCGUAAAGCGUCCGCAGGUGGCACUUCAAGUCUGCUGUCAAAGACCGGGGCUUAACCCUGGAAAGGCAGUGGAAACUGAAGCGCUAGAGUGUGGCAGGGGUAGAGGGAAUUCCCGGUGUAGCGGUGAAAUGCGUAGGGAUCGGGAAGAACAUCGGUGGCGAAAGCGCUCUACUGGGCCAUAACUGACACUCAGGGACGAAAGCUAGGGGAGCGAAUGGG